AGGGUGUCCAUGUGGCUGAACUGUUUCCAGGAAAAACCUGUAGAAAGUAUCCUCCUGCUUCCUCAGAGCUCAGACAUGAAGUGCGCCCUCAUCUCAGUGCUUGUGAUGAUAUUCACACUUGGAGGAACAAGAGCCCAGGCAGUGACUCAGCCUGAGAGCCACAUCUCAGUGUCUAAAGGGGACCCCGUGCAGGUGAAGUGCAACUAUUCGUAUUCUGGGAGUCCUGUGCUAUUCUGGUAUGUCCAGUACCCCAGAGAGCGCCUCCAGUUACUCCUGAAACACACCUCCAGAGAGAGCAUCCAGGGUUUCACCGCUGAGCUCAGCCGGGCUGAGGCAUCCUUCCAUCUGAAAAAACCCUCGGCUCAGGAGGAAGACUCAGCUGUGUAUUACUGUGCUUUGGGUAACACAGUACCUGGCUUCACAGGAGAAGCAGAGCGCAAACCCCUUACAGAAAGCAUUUCCAUGUUCCCUGUUUGA